UACGAAGGGGGCUAGCAUUGUUCGGAAUUACUGGGCGUAAAGGGCGCGUAGGCUGUGCUGUAAGUCAGGCGUGAAAGCCCCGGGCUCAACCUGGGAAUUGCGCUUGAUACUGCGGCGCUGGAAGGUGGGAGAGGAUGGCGGAAUUCCCAGUGUAGAGGUGAAAUUCGUAGAUAUUGGGAAGAACACCGGUGGCGAAGGCGGCCAUCUGGCCCAUUUUUGACGCUG
rnacentral:rRNA from 1 species